rnacentral:rRNA from 1 species
AAGGUUUCCGUAGGUGAACCUGCGGAAGGAUCAUUGUCGAAACCUGCCCAGCAGAACGACCCGCGAACUCGUUAAAAAACUUGCGGGGGGCGGGCGAGGGGCACUCUUGCCUCGGACCCCCCCCUUUGAGGCUGGGGGCAGCCGCUACGGCUCACCCCGUCGGCUCCCUCAGCCGCACGAACGAACCCCCGGCGCGAUCUGCGCCAAGGAACAUAAACGAAUGAGCGUUCUCUUGUGGCCCCCCGGAGACGGUGGUCUGCCACACGAGAUGCGUGUUCUUCGAUAAGUCAAAACGACUCUCGGCAACGGAUAUCUCGGCUCUCGCAUCGAUGAAGAACGUAGCGAAAUGCGAUACUUGGUGUGAAUUGCAGAAUCCCGUGAACCAUCGAGUCUUUGAACGCAAGUUGCGCCCGAAGCCAUUAGGCCGAGGGCACGUCUGCCUGGGCGUCACACAUCGUUGCCCCCCCCACCCCCGCCCCGGUGGGAGUGCGGGGGGCAGAAGCUGGCCUCCCGUGWGCGCUUAGUCUCGCGGUUGGCCCAAAAUCGAGUGCUCGGCUGCGUGCCGCGCGGCAUUCGGUGGUUGUCGAUCGUUCGCUUCCCCGUCGCGCGCGCUCGUCUCGCCAAAGAGACUCCAACAUACCCCAACGUGCCGCGGGACGCGGUGCUUCCAACGCGACCCCAGGUCAGGCGGGGCUACCCGCUGAGUUUA